rnacentral:rRNA from 1 species
UGAGUACGAGACGCUAAGGCGUCGAAGUAGUGGAUGUCAUACUUCCAAGAAAAGCUUGCACUGUCAUAAAUAAAGAACGCCUGUACCAUAACCGACACAGGUGGGUAGGUAGAGUAUACUAAGGGGCGCGAGAUAACUCUCUCUAAGGAACUCGGCAAAAUGACUCCGUAACUUCGGGAGAAGGAGUGCCUUAUUCGUAAGGCUGCAAUAACAAGAUCCAAGCAACUGUUUAUCAAAAACACAGGUCUCCGCUAAGUCGUAAGACGAUGUAUGGGGGCUGACGCCUGCCCAGUGCCAGAAGGUUAAAGAAGUCGGUUAGCAUUAGCGAAGCUGGUAACUGAAGCCCUGGUGAACGGCGGCCGUAACGAUAACGGUCCUAAGGUAGCGAAAUUCCUUGUCGGGUAAGUUCCGACCCGCACGAAAGGCGUAAUGAUUUGGAUACUGUCUCGGAGAGGGGCUCGGUGAAAUAGACUUGUCUGUGAAGAUGCGGACUACCUGCACCAGGACAGAAAGACCCUAUGAAGCUUUACUGUAACUUGAAAUUGAAAUUGGACUUUAUUCGCGCAGUAUAGGUGGGAGGUGUUGAUUAUAAUCUUGCGGGAUUAUUGGAGCCAUCAGUGAGAUACCACUCUUGUAAUGUUAGAUUUCUAACUUUGAAUCAUUAUCUGGUCAAAGAACAGUUUCAGGCGGGCAGUUUGACUGGGGCGGUCGCCUCCUAAAUGGUAACGGAGGCGUACAAAGGUUUCCUCUGAACGGGUAGAAAUCGUAUCUAGAGUGUAAAGGCAUAAGGAAGCUUGACUGUGAGACCUACAAGUCGAGCAGGGACGAAAGUCGGUCUUAGUGAUCUGACGGUACUGAGUGGAAAGGCCGUCACUCAACGGAUAAAAGUUACUCUAGGAUAACAGGCUGAUCUCCCCCAAGAGUUCACGUCGACGGGGAGGUUUGGCACCUCGAUGUCGGCUCAUCGCAUCCUGGGGCGGUAGUACGUCCCAAGGGUUGGGCUGUUCGCCCAUGAAAGCGGUACGCGAGCUGGGUUCAGAACGUCGUGAGACAGUUCGGUCCAUAUCCGGUGUAGGCGUUAGAAUAUUGAGAGGAGCCUUCUUUAGUACGAGAGGACCGAGAAGGACAUACCUCUGGUGUACCAGUUAUCGUGCCAACGGUAAACGCUGGGUAGCUAUGUAUGGAGUGGAUAACCGCUGAAAGCAUCUAAGUGGGAAGCCCACCUCAAGAUAAGUAUUCUC